GCCUGGGUAGUUCAGUUGGUAGACCAUCAGACUCUUAAUCUGAGGGUCCAGGGUUCAAGUCCCAGUUCAGGUA
rfam:Alligator mississippiensis ScZkoYb_266, whole genome shotgun sequence.